GGAGAGUUUGAUCAUGGCUCAGGAUGAACGCUAGCGGCAGGCCUAACACAUGCAAGUCGAGGGGUAACAGGAAAGCUUGCUUUCGCUGACGACCGGCGCACGGGUGCGUAACGCGUAUGCAACCUACCUCAUACUGGAGGAUAGCCCCUGGAAACGGGGAUUAAUACUCCAUAGUAUCACGAAUUCGCAUGUUUUUGUGAUAAAAGUUUUUCGGUAUGAGAUGGGCAUGCGUCCCAUUAGCUUGUUGGUGAGGUAACGGCUCACCAAGGCAACGAUGGGUAGGGGGCCUGAGAGAGUGGUCCCCCACACUGGUACUGAGACACGGACCAGACUCCUACGGGAGGCAGCAGUGAGGAAUAUUGGUCAAUGGAGGCAACUCUGAACCAGCCAUGCCGCGUGAAGGAUGACGGCCCUAUGGGUUGUAAACUUCUUUUAUAGAGGAAGAAACUUGUCUACGUGUAGACAACUGACGGUACUCUACGAAUAAGGAUCGGCUAACUCCGUGCCAGCAGCCGCGGUAAUACGGAGGAUCCAAGCGUUAUCCGGAUUCAUUGGGUUUAAAGGGUCCGUAGGCGGGUCUUUAAGUCAGUGGUGAAAGCCGACAGCUCAACUGUCGAACUGCCAUUGAUACUGGAGACCUUGAGUACAAAUGAAGUAGGCGGAAUGAGUCAUGUGGCGGUGAAAUGCAUAGAUAUGACUCAGAACACCGAUUGCGAAGGCAGCUUACUAAUAUGUAACUGACGCUGAGGGACGAAAGCGUGGGGAGCGAACAGGAUUAGAUACCCUGG
rnacentral:rRNA from 1 species